GAAUACAUUUCCUCCGGAAGCGUCAAAAUGUGGACAUGGACCUUCGAUGGGGAUAAACUUACUAUAAUAUUCAGAAAGGACACGAUGGAAGUAUGGGUAGACGACGAUAAAAUUGAUCCCACGAGCCGCUUCUCUGGGAGUACUGUCAUUAUGGAUUUCAAAAUAGGCAAGCACCAAGCCCGGAUAAGAAGUACAAAGGGAGAUGAUGAUGAUAUGCUUACAAUUGAUGGAAUCCCUGUAGAUUAAAAACUGACAGCGAGUUUACUUUGAAGACAGGUCGAGUCAUUUGCCUAUCACUGGGCGCGGCACAUGACUGACGUUUGCGAUUGAAAACAGUCUUCAUAUAAAAUAACCCGAGGACGGGCGAGCUAUUUUCAUUGUAAAUUCGCCUUGGAUUGUGUAUACGGUAUAGCAAGGGCAAUUACAUAUAUAUGACUGAUAUUCACAUUUUAAUACUUAAAAGUAAAAAUGUCUUUUUUUUUAUCGAGAGUGAUUUUUUGAAUUUCUAUUGACGGAAUUUCAUAUGGAAUGAAUACAUAUAGGUACAUGUAGGCUUCCGAGGAAUUUUGCUGGUUAUGCAUAUCAUAUGCAAAUCCACAUGAAUAUUUGUAUGGAGAUUGCAAAGAAACCUUCGUGGACAUUUUAUGCAACCUCUUUCACGAGUUUUUUAUUUAGUAGCUUAGGUUUUUAUAUUAUGCGAUUUAUUUUUCAUCGUCAGAAAUCUUUUUCACUGGCAUGAACACAAUCAAACCCAGAAUGCGUGUAAGCUCAUUGAUGCAGGUAAUACUUUGCCUGAUAGGAAACUGUUCCAGUGUUAGUGAGUUUUUUUAGUGGGUACAUACUUGUUUUUCUUUUUUCAUUGUUAAUGUCGUGAGCAAGACUUCCAGUUCCGUCCAAGUUAAAUGGUUAAUUAUUUUUGUUAAAACCUUUAAAUGGGACAUUUGCGCAUCAGUUCUUAAUAUUCCUACAAAUUGCAGAUUCAUUUUUCACAUCCGACGCUGCUUUUAGAGUACAUAGCGCAUCCACCU